rnacentral:lncRNA from 1 species
UAUAUACACUUUAUAUUUGAGAAAUGUAUAGAUGAAAAUAAGAAAAUACUAAAAAAACUAUGUGCUAUAGAAACAGUAUAAAAAUACACUAAAAAUAAAUUCAGCUUAGAUUAAAAUAUCUCUCCAAAUGUGGCGAAGUUGGCGAUGAGAAGAACGAUGGCGAUGUGCCGGCGUCAACAAUCGAAAACCAAUGAGAAAGGAUAUUAAUAAAAGAAUAUUUUAGAAUAUUUGAUAAAAGUAUAGGUGAAAAUAUAAAAAAAAAUAUUACUAAAAAGUAUACAUAUAGGUGAAAAUGAGAAAAUAUCGAAAAAAGAUCUGUUAUAUGUGUGAUAAGUAUUAUGAUGAAAUACGAUUGGGUAGUGUAGAUAUUAUAUGCGAGAGUAUUAAGAUAUGCUUCAUAUUUGAGAAAUGCGUAGGUAUAGAAUAUUUUGACAUGCAUUACUUAAACAUUUAAAAUUUUGCUUAGAAAAUUCAAAAUUAUAUUUAAU